CUGUGAACAACCACGUCCCCCAGAAAACUGUACGGGAGAACGUCGAAGGAUUAAAAAUAACUAAAAUUGGAACAAAAUAACCUUAACUGAUUUGAAACUGUUAUCUACAUCAACAAAAGGAGUCUAUGUAAACAGCUGUCUCAUUAUAUGAAGCUGCCAAAACAGGGAAAGAGCAAGAAUUGGAGGAGAACCUACCUUGGGAUAUUUCCAUGGAGUAAAUUUAGAAGUGAAAGCACAGAUGAAAGGCCAAGAACCAACAUUCAAGCAUCAGCAAGCUUAAUAGCAAGGUUUUCAAGGAAUGCCACGCAUCAACUAAAGCACCAAAAAAGGCAUCAGUUGGAGGAGGAUCUGAUGAAAAUGAGAUGUGGGAGUCACUGGUGUGGCCAGCAUUUAUUCCCCAGAAGGCAGUUAAGAGUGGGUUUCUGAGUCACAUGGAUGCCAGACCAAGUGACGAUAUGAUUUUGAGAGUCUCGCAAAAUGAACACAUCACCCUUACCACUGUCCUCACCACCCCAGGGAGGGGAAAAUCAUGCCAAAAUAGACAGUUUUAAAUUUAAUUACAUCUCCAGAUGAAGGGAACUAAAGGAGCAGGAGGCUUAUUUCAACAUGAGUGAAGGUCGUGGUGAACACCUGCAAACGUCAUGGCUUCCACAAGUUCGUUAUUUACACAUAGAGACACAUCUCCACAUGUCAAAUGAUCAGAAUAUGUUUGCAAACUCACUGGGUGCUGAGAUUUGGAGUAAAACAAAAGCCAUUAGCCAAGUUUGAGAACUGCAAAAAUCUGCCAGAAGUGCACUUCCACAUUCUUCUUCAGAUUUGUGUAUGGAAAUCUGAC